CAGAUGGGACUGGCUUCAGACCGAGCGCAAUUCAAAGCACAGGACGCGUGCUACGGGCGCAGCGUGGAGUAGAGCUCCUACCUGGCUGCUCCUCUCGCCGCGCGCGGGGCUCUGGGCUCCUGAGCGACUCCCGCACUUUCUGUUCCCCUUGGUUUCAGUUCUUAAAAGUGAUUUUUUGCGGAAGACCUACCGCCUCCUGCCUCCCUCCCCCAGCUCCCUUUCGCCUAGUGCUUCCUGCUCACCUCCCUCUGUUCUUUUCCUGGUCCGAGGCCUUCCCUGUGGUCGGUCUCAGCUAUGCCAUCCCGGGCUUGCUGGGAGCCGCUGUCCUCCUACGGCUCUUCGGAACCUGGCUCCUGGAGGGCGACGACCCCCCCCCCCCACACACACACACACUCACCUUGAAAUUCCACUUUGGCCUGUAGUGAAUCCUCCUCCGACGUUCCCAACGUCAUCCUGGACCUCUUUUAUUGUUUAGGCCUGUAAAUACCUGAAGAGAUGGUCAGCUAUUUGCAUGCAGAUCACACAGAAAUAUGUAUUUGUUGUGGCCCCAAGAUCCUGAGCACUGGCACAUGGGUAACAUACGGUUGGAAACAGGAGAAGAGAAGGCCUUGGAAAAUUUAUAGCUGGGGUGACCUCUGCUGUAUGCUGUCUAAGAAACCAUGUAUUUACUGAUAAUCAGUGACUUCUCUGGUUCAGCAAAAACUACAAAUGAAAUUGAUUCAGAAAGUUUUGGACAGGAUGCUGACAGGAUAUGAUGUUCAUCAGAGUCCAAAGUUUGGAGGUAAGCCACUUCUAGACACUUGAGAUCUGUGUGUUAAGUUGAAUAGAGCUGAGACACAGCAAAUCAGUCCCACCAACUAAGCUGACCAUUGACAUACCUACAGGCUCUACACUUCCGCCUCUCCAGAUCCCACCUUCCUGACCUGCAGUGGAGCACUCCUGGCCUGCCAAUCUUCAGGCACUUUGUUUUGACCCUGGAGUCUCUCCCACUUCUCUCGCUUUAUGUGGAAGAGGGCUUCUGCUCUCUCCACACUCCCUUGUGAGGGUACCACAUCUGAGGCUCAUUCCCUGGUGUGACUGGAGGAGCACUACCCACAGAAAUAGGUGUGCAGGCCAUAGGGCCCUAUGCUUCUCAAGCUAGAAUUUUCUGUAACAUCUGUCAUGCUGUAUGGCAUACACAUUUUUGAACACACAUUCUUUGCACCCUGGACACUCACCCUAUUCAGUUUGUUGAAAACUGGGCAUGUGAUCUACUCUAUCCAGUCUCCUUUGCCUGCCCAGGCCCCAGGUGCUUGUCCCUCUGUCCCUUAAGCCUUCGACUCUCACCAAGUUUAUUGGCUCUACCUCCAGAAAAACAUCUUAUCUCUUCUUUGAUCAUGGGCUCCCAAUAUCAGGCCUUGGGAAUCUUGCUGCUGAGUUAGUGCAACAACUUCCUAACCUCUUGUGUGACUGAUACCAGUUUUGGUACCUCUAGUCCCUUCAACACACUGCAGUCAGCAUCAUCUUUAUAAAUCUAGCCUGAUUACUUCAGGAAUUGUUAAUGGCUUUAUUUAACUUCCACAUAAAAUCCAAACUCUUUGGCCUAGCAUUCAAAUAUUGAGAGAAUAGAUGAGAAAUCACAAUGAAACUGAAGCACAAACUACCAGGAAGCCAAUGAGUCAGUUUCUAUAUUUCCUCUCAGCCAUCCCCUUGGGAAGGGCAAGUAGCCUGGAUCACACAGCUUUAAGUGACUGAAAACCUAUCCUGAGUCCACAGAGUAGAAGUAAUGUUCUCUGACCCAGGGGACACCCAGGAAACCUAAGCCAAUGACUGACAAAAGAAAGGGUGCAUUAAAUAGAGGUUCUGUGGGAGGUUGAACUUAAUUCUAAAGGAUUAAUGAAUGCUAAGGGUUUGCAUUUGUGCAAACAAAUAGAGUUCUUUUGUUUUUUUAAUUUAUUUUAGUGUUUAUUUAUAUUUGAGAGAGACAGUGUGUGAGUCGGGGAGGGACAGAGAGA